UGACGUUUAUUUCAGCGGCCCUGGAGGCAUGUCGUUUCGGCCGUCAUAGCGCUUAACUUCGAGCGUGAAGACGUCGA
rnacentral:tRNA from 1 species